UACGUAGGUGGCGAGCGUUGUCCGGAUUUACUGGGCGUAAAGAGCCCGCAGGCGGUCUGUUAAGUUUCAGGUGAAAUCUCCCGGCUCAACCGGGAGGAUGCCUGGAAAACUGGCAGACUUGAGGCAGGGAGAGGAAUGUGGAAUUCCCGGUGUAGUAGUGAAAUGCGUAGAUAUCGGGAGGAACACCAGUGGCGAAGGCGGCAUUCUGGCCCUGUCCUGACGCUCAGGGGCGAAAGCGUGGGGAGCAAACCGG
rnacentral:rRNA from 1 species